CAUAAAACUACAGGCGACGAGUUCCAUCCUGGGCAUCAGCUACCUCGGAAACCAUCGCCGUCAUGAAAUUGAUACUCAGCGAUCCCCAAAACUCCCGAGUAAUGGAUAUUGACUAAUUUUGAUUAUAACAUAAAACUCCAGACGACGAGUUCCACCAUAGGCACCAGGUACCUUGGAGACCAUCGCCUAGAUGAAAUUCGUGCGCAGCGACCGGCCAAAACCCUCCGAGUAAUGGUUACCCAUACAGCACAGGUCAUCUUUUAGAUAUCUUAUUUAUAACCAAAUAUGGUCUUAAUGUCUUAGGUCUCAAUUAAGACUUUUAAAAGAUAUCUUUAAAACGCCAAAUUUAUGAUAUCUUUAAAACGCCAAAUUUAAGAUAUCUUUUAAACAUCAUAUUUAAGACAUUUUUUCUUAAAAAUAGGUUAUGUUAUAAUUACGAAUUUAAAAGUUAGGUUAGGUUAGGUUAGUAAAACAUUUAAGACAAGAGCUGGUAGCAAAAAGGCAAACUCCAGACAAAAGCUUUUUCACAUCAGUGACUUCAGUGGUAUUUCCCAUAUGGUUUUAUUUGAGGGAUAUUUAGAAGACUACAGAUUUUAAUAAUGCAGUAGGUAUCGGAGCUUGUUAAAGUAGGAGGAUCAAAAGCCUAUGAUUUUGUAUAAAGAGUUGGAAAAUUAAUUAUUAGCAAUGAGCAAGCUUUAAGUACAG